GGAUUAAUUUUCAGAUGUUCAAUGGGUACUUAAUCUGAGCACAAAAUGCAGCCCUGGGUGCAAAGAGAUUGGAUUUAUCCUCCAAGUUAUUAUUGGGGGUGUUGGACAUAUGAAAUAAACCAGUCAGUCAUUGCCUUAGCUGGGCUGGUGUAGCAGAGUAAUGUGGUUAAUCAUCUCCACUGUGUUUUGUGUGUUCAUUUCUCCUAUUUUCAUUUUGCUUUGUAUCACCUGUAGUGUGAUUAUGUCACCAUUUGGGGUGUAUGGGUUAGGUAGGUGGGGAAGGAGAGGUGAGGGUGUGUUCUACCUGGACCCUGGCUAUAGUUAGGGAAAGCGCAAUCCUUCUCUUUCCUGCUCUUGGCCUUCAUGUGGGGAGUUGUGACAGUUAUCUUUUAUUUAAAAUGAUAAUUUUUUUUUGUUGGAAUGUUCUUGUUUUUAUAUUAGCCAAAUUUAAUUAUAGUGUUUUAUAGUUAAGUUGUGUAUUUUACCUUUUCCUUUUUGUUUUAGCAAAGUG